ensembl:lncRNA
CUGAAGGAGAAGUAUCUUUACUUGGAGAUUGCCUACUUUGGGAGUUUACUAGUGAGCCUGGUAUUCUCUGAACAGGGAGGAAACCCAAGGCACAGAGGAGGAGGUGAGAUACUGAGAACUGCUCCAGCAAACCAGGAAAAGAGGUCCACCAGGCAUUCCACGUGCCAGCCUGGGCUCCCUCCCUACUGUAUGGCAGCAUCACUCACAGAAAUGAUAAGGCUAAAGGAGCAAGAGGAAAGGUUGUCCAGCACCGAGCAGCUAACGGCCCUUUGUGGACUCAGACCAUCAAAGAGAAGACUACAGAAUGGGGACAGGCAUUCUUUCCAUUCCUGUCUGUCAGUGAAUAUGAGGAAAUGAGAGCAUGGGCCAGACCUCACUCCAGACGCAGAAAUGGGUGUACAUUGCUAUUCAGGCUUGAAUCGAGGUACCUUUGGUCCAGCAGCCUGCCUCCUACCACAAGCACUUCUGGAGGCUAUACAAGAACUCUGCUACAUGUAAAUAUAAGGGUGAGCAGAGCCACAGAAGGGCUACAAAAGGCAUCUACUGGCUCAUUAUUUAAAAGCUCAGUGAAAUACUGACCAGUACAUGUACUGAAAAAGCAGAGCUUCUGUCAUCCCACAGCCUCUUGCAGCUUGAGAC